CCUCACCAAAACCAACAUUACAGAUUCCUAUACAAGAAAAACUCUCUACAAUAGUAUAUGGUUUCUCAGUGGACUGUCUCUAAAUCCUCUGUUCUGUUAAACCUAUCUGGUAGAUAUAAUGAUAAACUAUAUAAAUUGAUGACAUAGGCUUGGGGGAUUAGCCAUUAUUAAUAGAAAUCUCGUGUUUUAACUAUUUCAGGCUGUGAGGAGUGAACAACAUACUAGUAGAUUGUAAAAAAG